GUCCGGGUGCUCUGAUCGAGUUGUUCUGCUGACAUUAGUGUGGUUAACUCAGGGAAAAACGUCCUGUUACUCUUUCAGGCACACGGCAGUGUACAUUGCUAGGUGCCUGUUAUGGGUCUAGCCGUGGCCUUUUAGGUCUUUACAUCAUAGUCCCUUUCCUUUGUUGGUGGUGUCGUCAGCUAUUUCUCACAGGACAUUUUAACCCUGUUACUUAGUGGUUGUGAGUGUGAGCUGUUGGUGCACACAAGUUAUGC
rnacentral:lncRNA from 1 species